rnacentral:lncRNA from 1 species
CCUCCACGGCCCUUGGCGGCUGAGGCCUGUUUCAGUCACCAGGUGGCAGCACCUCGGCCCAGGCCGGCCCUCUCCAUUCACGGCUCUUGCCGGGCCUUCGGCCUCCGCUGUCACCCGGAUCAGAGUGGAAGCCCAUGUUUUUCCCACUCUGACUUGGACCCGAUCCAUGAUGGCCUGAGUUGAUCUGAGGCUCGGACUCUGCAGAGAUCUGGCUCAGUGCCUCACAGGAUCCUUUCCAGUCCUAUGUUCCUCUGUUUCACCAUGCCUCUUGCAUGUAGAAAGGGCAAGCAGAGGCUCUGCAGCCAGACCAAAGGAUGUGCUGCAAUCUACGACCCACUAGAGGAAGACUCUUGCAAAAUGAAGAAUGCAGAGAGACUGCAAUAGGCGUGACAGGGAUCAGAGAACAAUGAAGAAGUAAUGUCAAGUGUUGUCCAACUACAAAAAUCAUGAAAUUGGCUUAAGAAUCAUGAGAGCAAAAGUAAUGAAAAAUAUGAGUUCUUUUUCUUUGCUUCUGUGCUUUUAAGGGUCACAUUUUCAGACUUUUGC